CAAAUUAGAGCUUGAAUUAAGCAUUUUAGUUACAUUAAAAAGAUUAUUAUUAAUAUAGUAUAAUUUGA
rnacentral:tRNA from 1 species